GGGGGGGGAGGAGAGAGGGCGUCCGUCCCUCAGAGCGCGAGACCGGGACCACCACCAGGCGGGGAGGGGCGGGGCCUUCUCGCGCAGCGGCGGCGGCAGCAGCAGCUCCCGGAAACCCUGGCAACCGAGAGGCAAAGGGGGGGAGGAGAGAGAGAGAGACAACGCCACUUCCGCCUCUUAUGUGUUAUUCUCAACGACGCCCCUUCCCAUCACCUCCUCUCUCUUCCCCCUCCCCUCCCCCGCACCUUUCCGAGGUUCCCUCAUUCGCCGCCAACGGUGUCCUGCCUAAAUCGACUCGGCCCCCAACAGGCACGGCCUAACAAUCGUUCCACCAGCUUCCCCGGAAAGUCGCCAUCGCCCGCCUUUGGCUACCUGGAUUUCCCCUCGAUGUUGUUGUAGGAGACGGAGGAAGAAUUGACAGAAACACCUGCCAAGAGAGUUGUUGUUUCCUUCCAGUGUCUCCUACUUAGCAACGGGAGUAUCCGUCAAGUCGCUGCUGAUCGACGGCGACCCUGUCCUUUCUGGCUCGGGGGCGACGCUACGAAUUACGGGAGAACAGGGGCGAUGUGGCGGAGACGACCUCCGUCUAGGACUCGGGAGCCGGCGAGCCGGGUGCGAAUCUCCCGUCGGCAAUGGAGACUUAUCCCUAACUAUCUCACAGACCGCAGAAACCCGACCAGCAUUCGUGGGCGCCGCGUUGACCGUACAUAAGCACGCACACGUGGGUUAGUGACCUCCCAAAGGACCUUUGGGAGGUCACUCAAAGGUCUUGCUCCGGCCUUGCAGACUCAAGCAGCAGUUUGUUUAGUUGAGUCCACCCGUCUUUUGCUCCCUUUUCCUCCUUCCUUUUUGUAUUUUCUUAGGGGAAGAUGUUAGAUAGAUUGCAACUUAACACAGGAUGCCUUUAAGGAGUUUUUGGCUGGGAAGGGCUUGUCUGGAGUGGGUUGAAUGUCAAUCAAUCCAGCAACAGCCAGUAGUUCCCUUUCUUCCUCAGAUUCUUUUUGAUACUGUCAGUUCUGUCAGUGUUAGCAGUGGAGUCUGUCAGAAGAGGACAGUUAGAGUGAAGUGUCAGUUAUGUAACCAGUCUGUCAGUAAUGAAGCUAGCUAACCAAUUAAGCUCAUUCAGUGUAACCAGUUGAUAUUUUUCACACACAAUGUUUUUUCCCCCAUAAGGAACUGUAAAUAAACAGAAGCAUUUAUUCUUA